rnacentral:lncRNA from 1 species
UCUUCAGAGUGAGCUUCAGAAGAGCUGUCUGCCCCAGGCCAACUCUCUAUCAACCGUCUGGAUGGGCUCUUUCAGCUCUGGAAUGGUGGAUCUAAGGCUGGAUUUCUGAAACUUUAAGAGCUCUUGAGUGAGUCCACACUACCUGAGAUCCUGUCCUGCGCAUCCCGAUGGAUGGACCUCUGACCAGACUGGGCGUGCUCUUCUUCACCCGCAGCGUCUGUUCUUAGCACCCAUUGUGGAACCAUCAGACAGCUGCUCCUUGCUUCCCCGAGGAAGAGCUGCUCUUCCAGCUAAACUCACUCAGGAUCCUGACCCCAGCUUCUGCUCUCCAUCCCGAGGCGGGGGCAGACAAGGACCGAGGGGCUGGGACACUGUGGGGGUCACACAGGUGCUGCUUUUCCCCACGAGGUGAGCUGUGCCCUCUCUUUCCGCCUGAGUUGGCUGGCAGCGAGGACAAAGGAUGUCAAUGUCCCCGACCUCAGUGGACGGAAUCUUGAAGCCAGCUUCCCCUGUUCUCUGAGAUGCCACAAAAUAGCCAGCACACAAAGUUUCUAAUAAAACAAUAUAAGAUAUGAGGUCAAGAAC